rnacentral:rRNA from 1 species
CCUCUAGAUGUUCUGGGCCGCACGCGCGCUACACUGAACAGUUCAACAAGUCUUAACCUUGGCCGAUAGGUCUGGGUAAUCUUUGAACGCUGUUCGUGACUGGGAUAGACCUUUGCAAUUAUGGGUCUUCAACGAGGAAUUCCUAGUAAACGCAAGUCAUCAGCUUGCAUUGAUUACGUCCCUGCCCUUUGUACACACCGCCCGUCGCUCCUACCGAUUGAAUGUGUUGGUGAGGAGCUCGGAUUGGCAGCAGUUGGUGGUUCGCCACCGGCUAUUGCUGAGAAGUCCUCCAAACCGCCCCAUUUAGAGGAAGGAGAAGUCGUAACA